UAAAAAAACCUGCAGUUAUCCUUUAACUGCAGGUUCUUUUUAUUUUCUUAAUCAAAAAGAAAAUAAAAAGAUAAAGGGAGAGGAGAAACCGGAGGAAGAACUUAUGGGGAAAUGUAAGUCUUCUCCG
rnacentral:ncRNA from 1 species